GCCUCCCCCUCCCCCAGACAACAUCAGCAGCAGCUGAGCCAAAGGGAGACCAAGGGAACUGCCCCAACAGACAGCCAGUUAGGCUUCUGCUGUGUCUUCCCACUUGAAGAGUGUAGUGGAGGGGUCCCAGGAUCAAAUGAUGCCCCAUGUCCCUCCUCUCCUGAACAAGGAGCCAGACCGGAGGGAGGAGGCAGGGAGCAGUCACCCCUCCCUAGGACCCUGACAGGUGAGGCGAGGAGUGGAGCAGACAUUUAGAGCAGAUAGGAGAUGGGAAUUUUUAACUAGACUGGGCUGUUUUUUUGAGGAAGAUUAGCCCUGAGCUAAUUGCUGCCAAUCCUCCUCUUUUUGCUGAGGAAGACUGGCCCUGAGCUAACAUCCGUGCCCAUCUUCCUCUACUUUAUACGUGGGACGCCUACCACAGCAUGGCGUGCCAAGCGGUGCCAUGUCUGCACCCGGGAUCCGAACCCGCGAGCCCCGGGCCUCUGAGAAGCAGAACGUGCGAACUUAACUGCUGCGCCUCCGGGCUGGCCCUAGACUGGGCUUUUGAAGGCACUGAUUAGAGAAAUGUAAAAUGUGUUCCUGUUCAGAUGCCACCAAGUCAAAACUCUUCCAUAAUGUGAUUACACAGACAUUGAUUUGGAGUUUAAAUCGUGCUCUUGCAGAAAAGAAUCAAGGGGGCAUGAAGCAGGACUGCCUGUAAGGGAGGGGAAGAUCACUAAACUGGUGGUUUUCAUGAGUCAGGCAACACAACCUGCAGGAGUAUCUGUCAUCCUAACAUCAGCUACUCCAGGAGACCUGAGCUCAAAUGCCUACAGGCACCAGAGAGGUACACAAAGGAAGUUCAGAAAAUCUUGGUGUCUAGGACUCUGGGAGGUGGAGACAACGAGAACUGAAGAGCGAGGCCCUGGAGAAAGGGGACAGUCGCUCUUUAGUGCCAGUGGAAACUCAGCAGUUGCCCCUGUGUGGGGUUUUUGAUUUCAAGAGAAGAGGGAAAUUUGGUAUACAUUUUUAAGACGUGGUAUCUCUUGAUUUUUAAAUGUUACCUCAAAACAAAAAACAAAACACCCCAUAGGCCAAACAAAACAAGUCUUGUGGCUGGUUUCUCAUCUGGCUUUUAUGAAAUCUUAGAGAUUCUAAGAUUUUAGGGAUCCUAGGAUUAUUUAGUUCCAUGAUUCAGAAACUUUAAUGUGCAUGUAAAUACUUGAGGGAACUUGUUAAAAUGCAGAUUGUGAUUCAGUAGGUCUGGGCCUGGAUUCUGCAUUUCCAACAAGCUCCCCGGUGAUGUCACUGCUGCUGGUCCACCAACUACAUCUUGUGUAGUGAGGAUUUAGUUCAUCCUUCUACCUAAGAAUUCCCUCUGAUUGUACAUGCCUGGUCAAUGAUGUCUCCAGUUCUGCUUGCACACCUCCAGGGACUGGAUGCUCACUACCUAUGGUCGCAGCCUGAGUGGCUGCAGCUUCUGCUAACUUCGGCCAGGCUCUGCAGCAAUGGUGAAGGACACCCAGAGUCAAACAUGCCCAGGCCUGGGAUCUGGAACAUCAGAGUUCCACAGAAGAAACUUCAGUUGGGGACCUAUCAGGAAGGGAGUGGACACUGUUGCCAAGAAGAGUUUCUGUCCAGUUGCUUACUCAGCAGCGCUCAGUUACACAGGAGAUACUACUAGUCCUGGGUGUUCUGGUUAAUAAAAGUUUGGUGCAAUCUGUUUACCUUCCUUUCCCCAAAGUCUUGAAACAACUUUUCUCUGCGCUUGGGCAAGCUAUCUGGUUAUGCCCACAGGAGAAGGAGCCAGGUUCUGACUUGUGAGGGAUGGAGAAGGGAAGGAGGCUUGAGGCUAAACAGAAGCACCUGCCUCCUCAGGCCACAAGACAACCCAUGCUCUCCUGGAUCAGGUCUCUACCUCCUCUGGAGUUGGGGCAUCCAAUCCCAGAUCCUCCUUCCAGGGUCCUCGAGAGGCCGUGGAAAGGGGACAAUCCCCCAUCCCAGCAUCCCCCGAUGGGCUCGGGAUCACUGGGGCUGGAGGUCACAUGCCCAGUGCUCCAUAUCCCAAGGCCAAUCAUCCUGAAGUCCAGCUGUCAGAGCUGGGGGGUGUGGAAACCACCUAGGCCACUCCUCAUUUCGCCUUGGAGGGGAACCCAAGCCCAGAGAGUGCAUGAGACUUUCCCACGGUCACACAGCUGGUUUGCAACCAGCUCCUGUAAAGGCCCAGAAUCCUUUGAGGCAGAGCUGGACAGAAGCCACUGGUAUU
rnacentral:lncRNA from 1 species